CAGUAGCCACGGUAAUACGUAGGUGGCAAGCGUUGUCCGGAAUUAUUGGGCGUAAAGGGCGCGCGGGCGGUUUCUUAAGUCUGAUGUGAAAGCCCCCGGCUCAACCGGGGAGGGUCAUUGGAAACUGGGAAACUUGAGUGCAGAAGAGGAGAGUGGAAUUCCACGUGUAGCGGUGAAAUGCGUAGAGAUGUGGAGGAACACCAGUGGCGAAGGCGACUCCCUGGUCUGUAACUGACGCUGAGGAGCGGAAGCGUGGGGAGCGAACAGGAUUAGAUACCCCCGUAGUCCCUGUCUCUUAUAC
rnacentral:rRNA from 1 species